CUUACAGUUUGUUCAGAGAUGAAGACGAAGACUCUCCACCCACACAGCUGACAUCACUGUGGAGAAGGAAGGACACAGACGUUGUUGUUGCUGAGCUCCCUCCAUGUAAGAGGGAACAUUUCUGUGAUCCGCCAUAGCGAGCUGCGCUCACUGCGACCUCACCAGUGGCUAACAGGCCCAAACAAAGACACAGUUAUUGAGCCUCUUUCAGCUUUCUGCCAACCAGUCCAGCGUUGGAAAGAACAUUUCCAUCCUUCAUCAUUACACAGCAGGUGGAAAACU